rnacentral:snRNA from 1 species
UGCACGGGCCUGGCUCAACCCG